CCAGAUGGCCGGACGGCCGCUUUCGGGGGGAACCUCGGGGGAGGAAAGUCCGGGCUCCACGGAAGUACGGUGCCGGAUAACGUCCGGCGGGGGUGACCCUAGGGAAAGUGCCACAGAAAGCAAACCGCCGGCCCGAUUCCCCGGAAUUCGGCCGGUAAGGGUGAAAGGGUGCGGUAAGAGCGCACCGCGCGACCGGCAACGGAAGCGGCACGGCAAACCCCACCGGGAGCAAGACCAAAUAGGGACGGCAGCCUUUCCUUCGGGAAAGCCAAACGCACUUCCGCGUAGCCGUCCGGGUCGGUCGCGUGAGGCGUCCGGUAACGGGCGUCCCAGAUGAAUGGUCGUCACCCGUGGGAAACCAUGGGUACAAAACCCGGCUUACAGGCCGUCUGGCGCA
rnacentral:RNase_P_RNA from 1 species